UACGUAGGGUGCAAGCGUUACUCGGAAUUACUGGGCGUAAAGCGUGCGCAGGCGGCUAUGCAAGUCAGAUGUGAAAUCCCCGGGCUCAACCUGGGAACUGCAUUUGUGACUGCAUGGCUAGAGUACGGUAGAGGGGGAUGGAAUUCCGCGUGUAGCAGUGAAAUGCGUAGAUAUGCGGAGGAACACCGAUGGCGAAGGCAAUCCCCUGGACCUGUACUGACGCUCAUGCACGAAAGCGUGGGGAGCAAACAGG
rnacentral:rRNA from 1 species